rnacentral:rRNA from 1 species
AUUGAACGCUGGCGGCAUGCUUUACACAUGCAAGUCGAACGGUAACAGGUUAAGCUGACGAGUGGCGAACGGGUGAGUAAUGCAUCGGAACGUGCCCGGUCGUGGGGGAUAACACUUCGAAAGAAGUGCUAAUACCGCAUACGAUCUGAGGAUGAAAGCGGGGGACCGUAAGGCCUCGCGCGAUCGGAGCGGCCGAUGUCAGAUUAGGUAGUUGGUGGGGUAAAGGCUCACCAAGCCGACGAUCUGUAGCUGGUCUGAGAGGACGACCAGCCACACUGGGACUGAGACACGGCCCAGACUCCUACGGGAGGCAGCAGUGGGGAAUUUUGGACAAUGGGCGAAAGCCUGAUCCAGCCAUGCCGCGUGCAGGAUGAAGGCCUUCGGGUUGUAAACUGCUUUUGUACGGAACGAAAAGACUCUUUCUAAUAAAGAGGGUCCAUGACGGUACCGUAAGAAUAAGCACCGGCUAACUACGUGCCAGCCGCCGCCGUAACAC